rnacentral:rRNA from 1 species
UACGUAGGGUGCAAGCGUUGUCCGGAAUUAUUGGGCGUAAAGGGCUCGUAGGCGGUCCAUCACGUCGGGAGUGAAAAGCUGGGGCUUAACCCCAGUCCUGCUUCCGAUACGGGUGGACUAGAGGUAGGCAGGGGAGAACGGAAUUCCUGGUGUAGCGGUGAAAGUGCGCAGAUAUCAGGAGGAACACCGGUGGCGAAGGCGGUUCUCUGGGCCUUACCUGACGCUGAGGAGCGAAAGCGUGGGGAGCAAACAGG